AGUGCCUAAGUUAAAGGAAGCACAUUGCUCUUCUUUUACUUCUAAAUCCGCCUUUCGACCAGGUUUCAUAAAGUCUUUCGUGUUGUCUAAAAUAGACAGUGUAGCCCAUCUCUUUCCACUUCAUAUGCUGCACCUUGACCUGACGUAUUGGUGUAGGGCAUUAAGCUCACUAAUAAGCGCUCACGGGGUAAGCUGACGACGGAGGUAUACAGGCUGAGAGGCUAGGAGUGGUGAGGUAAAGCGGGGGUUAUCGAUUAUAGGACAGGCUCCUCUAGGUGGAUUUGGGGUACCGUCAAGUCCCUUGGGUUUUAAGCU
rnacentral:rRNA from 1 species